AUGUUUUGACUGCGAACAAACAGCUGAUAGCGGUGUGUCUACAUUUUUAAAAGAAGCAAGGCCUGCAAGACGUCGAUAGUGGAAAUUUCAGCUCAACUAACGUAUGACAGAUUAUAAAGCUUAAAGCAGACUCUUGUUACCACAUGGCUUUUACCUGUUGAUUCUUGUGGUGUCAGCUCUUGAGGUUAACCUGUCACCUCUACCCACAUGCAUAUUCCUUGUGUUCUACAGACUAUCUACCGGUAAUUCAAAUUAAAUCGGAUAAUGCAUGAACAAUAAUGGAACUUUAAGAAAGCAUCAUGUCCUAUUGUGGUUUGUUCAUGUUUGAAAAGAAAUUAUGAAAAACAAAAUUAAGGCUGUUUAAAGAAAUAUAAUUGUUGUGAAAAUUUGUUUUUCAAUAAAAGUAUGCAAUUAUG